rnacentral:tRNA from 1 species
GGGGUUGUGACUCAGUGGUAUAGCAUCUGCUUGGCAAGCAAAAGGUCCCGGGUUCAAUCCCUGGCUUCUCCA